GAUCGAGCCUUCCCGGCCGGUCGCUGCUGAGGCGGUGCGACGUGACUCGGGGCCAUGGAAAAUGCACCCUAAGCGUACCCCUCCCUGCCCCCGCUGCCCGUGUGCCCGUGUGAGCCGGGACAGAGCCCGUGCAGAUCGCGUGCACCCCAGCACACAGUGGGUCUUUUAGUGUGCAUUUGCCCCAGCAGUGAGUAAAGACCCCACCCGGUGAUGUGGAGGGUGGCGCCGGGAUCACUGUUGCUACCACUGACGUGUUCCUUUGUGUUGUCCUGGGUGUCACACUCCCAUUGUCUCGGGUCUUCACCCCAUCCCAGGGAGGUCAGCCUGACCUUUUUAUCUGGGCCAUGAAGAGGCUGCGUUGCGCUGAGGCCAUGCUGUGUGUGUGGGGUGGGGGGGGGCUUCCAGCCUUCACUGUGUCACCUUGACUCUCAAUAAAGGGUUUUAAAUUGC